AAAUAAAUGCAAUCUAAGAGAUUAGACGUUCCCUUCGGGGACAUGGAUACAGGUGGUGCAUGGUUGUCGUCAGCUCGUGUCGUGAGAUGUUGGGUUAAGUCCCGCAACGAGCGCAACCCUUAUUAUCAGUUGCCAGCAUUAAGUUGGGCACUCUGGUGAGACUGCCGGUGACAAACCGGAGGAAGGUGGGGAUGACGUCAAAUCAUCAUGCCCCUUAUGACCUGGGCUACACACGUGCUACAAUGGAUGGUACAACGAGUUGCGAACUCGCGAGAGUAAGCUAAUCUCUUAAAGCCAUUCUCAGUUCGGAUUGUAGGCUGCAACUCGCCUACAUGAAGUCGGAAUCGCUAGUAAUCGCGGAUCAGCAUGCCGCGGUGAAUACGUUCCCGGGUCUGGAAC
rnacentral:rRNA from 2 species